rnacentral:snRNA from 1 species
UUUCUCAUUUCCACAGCACAUAUACUAAAAUUAAAAUACACAGAGAAGAUUAGCAUGUCCCCUGAGCAAGGAUAACAUGCAAAUUUGUGAAGUAGUCCACAUUUUA